CGGCGGGCGCCCGCGAAUUCCCGCAGGGAGCGGGGUGAGGAGCUAGCGGUUGGGGUCGGGUCUCCGGGCGCGUGCUUCCUCCCCGCUCCCGGUGAGGGUGAACUAACGGAGGUGGGCGGGCCGGCGCACCGGGUUAGCAGGCGUUUAUCCUGUAUGGCCGCAGCAGUCAGCGCCCCUCAACAGCACGAGCCCCGCCUGCAGAGCCCUAGGCGGCGUCCAGCAGGAGGCCUCCCGCGGGAACUGUCACUCCGCCAAACAAGAGAGAUAAACAAGCAAAAGUCUAGAAACAAGCCAGCUGUCCAUCUACAGUGGAAAGCGUAAACAAACUGUGAUGUGUUCGCGUACUGGAAUUUUACCAUGGUGUGAAAAAUCCACGAACCACAGCUGCAAGCAACAAUAUGGAGUAAAGUCUUUGUGAAAGGCAUCAGUUGAAACCUCAGAGUUUGGCUUUCUCUGCAGGUGUGCUGGGGGCCUCAGUGUCCGUGUGCCUCAGCUGCCUGGGCUCAGUCUGUCCAGGAGGGAUUUGGAAAGGACCUAGGUCCAGUAGGAGUUCUGCCCACUGACAAGCCCAGGUGACCCAGCAGCAGCAGCAGAGGACUGACCAGAAGUGGCCCUCCCUCACCUAGAACAACUGGACGACCAGGGGCUCCAGGGGAGGAACCCACCAUCUGGCCCAGGAAACACUCCAGGCUCUGGGGCUGGGAACUCUCCCUACUGGAAGGCAUCAGGUGGUCUGGCCUGGGGAAGAUGCCCCCACCCCCUUAGGUGGCACCAGCAGGGACCAGGGGGAGCCCCACCAGCACCAGAUAACAAGCAGACUGAACACUCCAAGCACUAAAACUGCCAUUAGAACCACAGCCCAAGGAAGCAGGCCAAGAACUGUACGCUAAACCUAAAUGGGGUGACCGCCUGCUGAAAUAAAAGAUCCAAAUUGCACUGAGUCUCCUGAUAUAAUAGCUGCAACGUCCAGGAUACAAUCGAAAAUUGCAUGUCAUUCCAAGAACUAGGAAUAUCACAACCAGAGUGGGAAAAGACGAUCAACCAAUAUCAACACCAAGACCAGAUCAGAUGUUGGAAUCAUCAAACAGGGUUUUAAAGUAGCUGUGAACAAAAAUGUGUCAGUGAGUAAUUACAAAUUCUCUGAAAACAAAAAAGUAGAAACCUCAGCAGAGAAAUAGACAUUAUUUAAAAAAAAAAAAAAAAGAAAAUUAUAGAACUGAAAACUACAAUAACCAAAAUAGAAAACUCACUGGACACACUCAGGAGUGGAGCGGGGAUGGCAAAGGCUAGGAUCAAUGACCUUGAGGACAGAUCAGCAGAAUCUACACAAUGUCAAUAACAGAGAGAAUAGACUGAAAAAAAAAAAAAUUCACAGAGCUUCAGGGACCUGUGGGACAAUAACAAAAGAUCCCACACUCACAACAUCAGAGUCCCAGAAGAGGAGAAAAAUAGUAGAGCUGAAAGAGGAUUCCACGAAAUAAUGGCUGAAAAAUUGGGAAAUUUGGUAAAAGGCAUAAACCUACAGAUUCAAGAAACUGAGCUUAUCCUAAGCAGGAUAAACCCAAAGAAAUCCAUCCAAGACACAUCAUAAUUAAACUUCAGGAAACCAAAGACAAAAAAAAAUCGUGAAAGACAAAUUACUGAUAGAUGAACACCAAUUCGGAUGACAACAGAUUUGUCAUUGGAAACCCCAGAGGCUAGAGGAAAAGGCAUGACAUUUGUCCAGUGCUGAAAAACUGAUUUGUGAGCCACAAAUUCUAUAGCCUCAGUGAAAGUAUCCUUCAGGAAUAAAGGGAAAGUAACGACAUUCUCAGAAAUAAAAAAACUAAAAGAAUUUGUCACUAACAGACCUACCCUUCAAGCAUGGCUAAAGGAAGUUCUUCAAACAUUAAGGUAAUGACAAAAGAAGGAAUCUUAGAGCAUCAGGAAGGAAGAAGAAAGGACAGAAGGAGCAGAAAUAGGGGUCAAUGCAACAGGCUUCCUUUUCCUCAUGAGUUUUCAAAGUCAUGUUUGAUGAUUGCAACGAAAAUUGUGACACUGUUCAAUACCCAGGACCAGGAUGUUUAAAAGUGGAACCUAAAUGGAAGUACAGUUUCCACACUUCACCUCCGGUGGGAAAAUGGGCCACGACAUCACAGACACUCCCUGA